rnacentral:rRNA from 1 species
CUCCUACGGGAGGCAGCAGUGGGGAAUUUUGGACAAUGGGGGAAACCCUGAUCCAGCCAUUCCGCGUGUGCGAUGAAGGCCUUCGGGUUGUAAAGCACUUUUGGCAGGAAAGAAAUCGUGUGGGUUAAUACCCUGCGCGGAUGACGGUACCUGCAGAAUAAGCACCGGCUAACUACGUGCCAGCAGCCGCGGUAAUACGUAGGGUGCAAGCGUUAAUCGGAAUUACUGGGCGUAAAGCGUGCGCAGGCGGUUCGGAAAGAAGGAUGUGAAAUCCCAGGGCUUAACCUUGGAACUGCAUUCUUAACUACCGGGCUAGAGUGUGUCAGAGGGAGGUGGAAUUCCGCGUGUAGCAGUGAAAUGCGUAGAUAUGCGGAGGAACACCGAUGGCGAAGGCAGCCUCCUGGGACAACACUGACGCUCAUGCACGAAAGCGUGGGGAGCAAACAGGAUUAGAUACCCUGGUAGUCCACGCCCUAAACGAUGUCAACUAGCUGUUGGGGCCUUCGGGCUUUAGUAGCGCAGCUAACGCGUGAAGU